rnacentral:sRNA from 1 species
ACCAUCUUGUAUGGGCGCCCCCAGGGAUCUU